rnacentral:rRNA from 1 species
UGGGGGAUAUUGCACAAUGGAGGAAACUCUGAUGCAGCGACGCCGCGUGAGGGAAGACGGUCUUCGGAUUGUAAACCUCUGUCUUUGGGGAAGAAAAUGACGGUACCCAAAGAGGAAGCUCCGGCUAACUACGUGCCAGCAGCCGCGGUAAUACGUAGGGAGCGAGCGUUGUCCGGAAUUACUGGGUGUAAAGGGAGCGUAGGCGGGCGAGAAAGUUGAAUGUUAAAUCUACCGGCUUAACUGGUAGCUGCGUUCAAAACUUCUUGUCUUGAGUGAAGUAGAGGCAGGCGGAAUUCCUAGUGUAGCGGUGAAAUGCGUAGAUAUUAGGAGGAACACCAGUGGCGAAGGCGGCCUGCUGGGCUUUAACUGACGCUGAGGCUCGAAAGCGUGGGGAGCAAACA